AGUGAACGCUGGCGGUAGGCCUAACACAUGCAAGUCGAACGGCAGCACAGUAAGAGCUUGCUCUUACGGGUGGCGAGUGGCGGACGGGUGAGGAAUACAUCGGAAUCUACUUUUUCGUGGGGGAUAACGUAGGGAAACUUACGCUAAUACCGCAUACGACCUACGGGUGAAAGCAGGGGAUCUUCGGACCUUGCGCGAUUGAAUGAGCCGAUGUCGGAUUAGCUAGUUGGCGGGGUAAAGGCCCACCAAGGCGACGAUCCGUGGCUGGUCUGAGAGGAUGAUCAGCCACACUGGAACUGAGACACGGUCCAGACUCCUACGAGAGGCAGCAGUGGGGAAUAUUGGACAAUGGGCGCAAGCCUGAUCCAGCGAUACCGCGUGGGUGAAGAAGGCCUUCGGGUUGUAAAGCCCUUUUGUUGGGAAAGAAAAGCAGCAGGUUAAUACCCCGCUGUUCUGACGGUACCCAAAGAAUAAGCACCGGCUAACUUCGUG
rnacentral:rRNA from 1 species